CCCGAUGCAUGCGAGUGUACACACCGGGCAUAGGUAGAUUGCACCGUUUAGUGUGAGUGAGGUCUGCAGUGAAAUCACAUGGGAAAGUGAAGCUUCUGUAGGCCACAACCCGUUCUCCUCAACUCAGAAAGAUGGUCCUCGUGUUGUAGUGGUCAAAGUCCGCCAGCGCCAAUACAAAGCAUCUUUCAGCUGGCUGCUGAUUAAACCAAAAUACCACCAGUUCUUGAUGUCCACUGGGAUUUUCCAGCUGUAUGAAGUAUUCCCAUUGGUGAUCCAACAGAAAAUUAUUUUAUCAACCAGGUAAUUUAAAUGAAUCUUUCUUCUAAUCAUGGGAGGAUAUUCUUUAUAGAAACUGUAAUUGGACAUUUGUUUAUAUAGUACAUUUCAUUACAUGUAAACUCAAUGGGAAUUGCAUAAGAAAUCAGCUUGCCUUGAUUUUAUCAUACUCAUGUAAAGAAAGUGAAUAGGCAUUUUUUCCAAAACUGCUUUCAUUUCAUCUGCACAUGUGUACAUGUCUGUAUGUGAACAAAGAGAAUUAAAG
ensembl:lncRNA